UACGAAGGGGGCGAGCGUUGUUCGGAUUUACUGGGCGUAAAGGGCGCGCAGGCGGCUAUCCAAGUCAGGCGUGAAAGCCCCGGGCUUAACCUGGGAGGUGCGUCUGGGACUGGGUGGCUAGAGUUCGGGAGAGGAGAGUGGAAUUCCCAGUGUAGCGGUGAAAUGCGUAGAUAUCGGAAGGAACACCAGUGGCGAAGGCGACUUCCUGGACAGAUACUGACACUGAGGCACGAAAGCAUGGGGAGCAAACAGG
rnacentral:rRNA from 1 species